GUUAUUCCUGCAUCCUAUCAUUUAUUUGAGUUUACAAACCUUUGCUCUCUUUUGAGUCAUCUCUCUAUUUGUAUACAUGAUGUUUUUCAUUUUCACUUUGAUACUUGCCUGAGCAGCCACUAGCUUGUACUCUAGUUAUAUUAGCAUAGAUGAAAGUCAUUGAAGAGAAGUUUAUUAUUAUUUCACUGAGCAUGAUUCUUUCAAACCCACAAGAAAGUGUUGAAAGGCCGAAGAUCAACCAGCAUCCAAACUGGUUAAAUGGAGGGUUAAUUUAUGGCCCCGCAUGUUCUUCGGUUGGGAAGGGAGCAUUUGCUGAGCAUGGUCCUUACCAGCUGGAAUAGAGAAGCGAACAUGCUAUACUUGGAUUCUCCGGCUAGUGUUGGUUUCUCUUAUUCGACCAACACCUCUGAUCAUCUCUUUGCGAAUGAUGAACUUGCAGGUAGUUUUUCUUACUUCUUUUCCCUCAAGGAACCAUUGCUCAGACAAUCUGAAGCUAACUUCUUUACUUUAGUUUGGAAUUCUAUUUAUGAAAUAACCUUUCUAUUUAAAAAUGUAAGUUCAAUUGUAAAAUAGAAUUCCAUUUAAAAUGAAAUAAUCUUUAGUUUUAUCAUCUGUAUUUCAGAUAAGUUCUUUAACUUUCAUUUUACUAUCUAUAUUAUUCCGUCAAACUAAUUAUUUUUAUUGUUGGUGGGUGGACAUCCUCAAAUUUGAUAAUGUCAAAAGAGCGAGUCAUUCUGCUGCGUUCUCUCAACCAGCAAGGGCAUUGAAGAUGAUAAAGACCUUUUUAGAACGCAAAUCACUAUAAAAUUAACUUUCUUAAUUUAACAUCUGUAAAUUUGUGUUUUUAUGACUUUCUUAUUUGAAUACAAUCAUAUAAAAAUUUUGUUCAUUUUUUAGUUCGGUUGAUAACAUUAGCGCAACAAUUCAAGGGCAUUGAAGAUAGAAGACAAAUCACUAUAAAAUUAACUUUUUCUUAAUUUAACAUGUGUAAAUUUGUGUUUUUAUGACUUUCUUAUUAGAAUACAAUCAUAUAAAAAUUGUGUUCAUUUUUUA